rnacentral:rRNA from 1 species
UUUCGCAAUGCCCGAAAGGGUGACGAAGCGACGCCGCGUGUGGGAAGAAGGCCUUCGGGUUGUAAACCACUGUCGGGAGUUAGGAAAUGCAGGUGCGUUAAUAGCGCACUUGCUUGACUAAGGCUCCAGAGGAAGCCACGGCUAACUCUGUGCCAGCAGCCGCGGUAAUACAGAGGCGGCAAGCGUUGUUCGGAAUUAUUGGGCGUAAAGAGCACGUAGGCGGCCUUGCAAGUCAGUUGUGAAAGCCUUCCGCUUAACGGAAGAACGGCAUCUGAUACUACAGGGCUUGAGUACGGGAGGGGAGAGUGGAACUUCUGGUGGAGCAGUGAAAUGCGUAGAUAUCAGAAGGAACGCCGGCGGCGAAAGCGACUCUCUGGUCCGAAACUGACGCUGAGUGUGCGAAAGCUAGGGGAGCAAACGGGAUUAGAUACCCCGGUAGUCCUAGCCGUAAACGAUGGGCACUAAGUAGAGGGGUUUU